rnacentral:tRNA from 1 species
GGGCUCGUAGUGUAAUGGCAACACACACCAUUGGCUAUGGUGAGACUGUGGGUUCGACUCCCGCCGAGUCCA